UGAAAGAUGAGGAGGCGGAAAACGCUGCUAAAAUCCGUGAAGCUGAAGUUACAAAAAAUAGCCUGAUGCAGGUUGCAAAUGAAAAGAUUCUGCCACUUCAGGAUGCUGUUGAACUGGGUAUUGCAAUAGAAGAAGAAACGGCGCUUUUGCUGGAGUGGAAAAAGUACCGGGUAAAACUAAACCGUAUCGAACCUGACGA
rnacentral:sRNA from 1 species